ACACACACACACACACACACACACACACGGCUGUGCUCUGUCUCUGGCUCGCCCUGCUGGGCGCAGAGCCUGGUAGAUGGGCCAGCAGUUUCCUGGUGCUCAAGUUUUUAAAAUAGCUGAAGUGGUCACAGCUGUUGCUGGAUUCAGGGCCGGAGGUCGCACGCAUCUCAGCCGAUCCCGCUGCCCCCCCCCCAGACGCCUGGCAAUCCACAAGGAUUGCACGGUACCUUCUGCGGGAAGCCUGCAAAGGGCAGACCUGGCUUGGGCCAGUUCCUGGUGCUGACAGACCCACACCCCCAUCAGCUCCCGCCCCUGCCAAGCAGGUGGCCAGAACUCCAGUGCUCCCGGGUUGGGGGUGGGGUCCCCUGUCCUGUCUCCUGCCGUGAUCCUUCUGGGGGUGGGGGUCUCUCGGGGCCAGGCCCGGGGGAGCCUGGCUGGAGUGGACACAAACAUCAGCGGCCUGCUUUGAGGACACUCACCAUGCAUGCAAGAGUGGGAUAAGAAAGAAAUGCACAGCAAUGCCUGGUCAUUGUGGAAAAACUGAUAAAGUUUACGAUCACCCUGGACCCGGCCAUGAGAUCACCGGAAGUCUGAGCCUGCAGGGCCUGCCCCGAGGCGGUGCUUCCUGAGCCUCCGACAGCUUUCCUGUCUUAGCACACAAGAACCCUAGGAGGGAGACACGAGCAGAGCCCAGGAUUACAGACAACAAUGAGAUGGUGCUCGGUAUUCUGCUCAGCGCAUCCCGGCCCGGCGCCCCGCCAAGUCUCACAGAUGCACGGAGACUGUCCCUGGAAGCUUGUGCGAAGGGGGCUUCUGACGUUCUCUGCUAUUUGAUAACAUUUCAAAGCCUGUGCAAUGGUCGUGUUGGAAAUGGUCAAAGAUGAUCCCCGAGGGCACUUGGCCGACGUCCAAGAAGCAGUGAAGUCUUCAAGCAGCAGGGUUGGUGAGGUCACUGGACGGCCCAGAGCUGAGAGUGUAAAUCCCUCCGCGUAGCAGGAAGAAGUCGAAUUUUUAUGGCUCAACAGGGGACAACUGCUUCAGGGUGACUCCUGGACAGAUGCCUAGGUUUCCAAUUUCACCUGACAGGGAGCACAGCUGCCUCUACCCUUUGAGUUUAUGGCUUAGUCUCGUCUCUUUAUCACAAUGCUUAUUGGAAACCGUUUUUUGUUUGUUUGUUUUUCUUCCGGUACCAGGAAUCGAACUCACAACCUUGGGCUUUCCAGGCAGGCGCUUUGCCGCUGAGCUAAAUCCCCAGCCCUGGAAACCGUUUUUGAAUGUAGCAGGUUGGAUGCGGAGAGUAAAAUCUAAAAGCACCAAAUCAUAUGGGACUGAGGUCUCAAAGAAAGCACCUCAUUGUUGUCCAUAAACCCCGAUGACACAGAAAGUUAGAAAACACAUGAAGUCAGAGAAGUCAGGACGUACAAGCGAGACAGGGCGGCUAUGGCCCAGCGUAAGCUCUGGGGGCUGGAGCUGCAGGUUAUUCACUGGGGCAAUGGAUUUGUUAGGAGCCACGUGGUGGUGCAGCUUAUCAUCAAAUCAGUACGCACAAGUCAGCUUAAAAGGCAUGAGGAACCCUCCUCACGUGCCGAAGGUCCUCAGCAGAUCGCUGCAGACCUCAGCCCAAGGGGUCACUGGAAGCAGGAAAAGAACCUUGCAUUUUUGAGUCUGAUAUCUGCAGGCUGAAAACUCAGGAUUUCUGUCUAUUGAUCUCUUUGUUUUGUUUUGUUUUUUGUCUUUUGCAGUUCAGGCUGGCCUUGAGC